ACAGGGCAAAGUCGCUCUACUACAGCAUGUCAAUCUCAGGCACAGUCUGUGUUAGGAAAUGUGCCGGGAACUGAUCACUCACAGACUUGGCACGGCAGGUGGUCACUCAUGGCUUGUGGUCAUUUAUCUCUGAGGUAACUCUGGUAUGUGUCAGGGUGGGCCUACUGGUUCGGUCAGGUCAUUAUCUCAGACUGACCUCAACUUUUCACCCAGCCUACAGCCCCUUCCCUAUUCCUAGUCCCUGGAAACAAUGCUUCCUAGUGUCACUUCUUUUCUCCCCUGCCCAGGGGGGUAGAGGUAUAAUCAGACCAGUACAAGGUGCUGUGUGAGUGGGGGAAGAGCUGACCGACUAAAUACCCAACCCUUUUUUUGGCCCCUGAGAAGACAGCAGACCUCAAUACUAAAGAAGCAAAGUCUGGCCAGAGUUUAGGAAUCCCAUGCCUGUCAAUCAUUUGCAAUCUUCCUCAACAACUAUUUUUUACUUAACAUGUUUUUUUGUCCAUAAGCAAGUUGCUCCUCACGGGCAGGAACCUGCCUUUUCAUCACCAGUGCCUACCAGGUUGCUUGGCAAUAUUAGGCACUCAAUAAAUGUUUAUUGAAUGAACUAAAGAAAGAAUGCUAUACAGGCAGCCCAUACUGAGAUAUUGACUACAUCAUGUAAAUUUUGGAGAGGAGUAUUUUUUUCAGUAUCAUGGAUUAUUUUCAGUUCAAGCAUUAGCUUAAGUUCUGUUUCUAAGACCUAAGCAAUCCAUAUUUUAAAUCUAAAAUAAUUUAAUCUUAGUGUACAUUCUGUUUAGAGACAGCAGGGGAAGUAUCACAAGAGAAGAAAAGGAAGGAUAUGUGAAAUGUUUAUUGAAGCAAGCUGCUUGAGGUUUCCAGCACCUAGAAAAAAACUCACUGAGAUGUAAAAAUGGUUGCUCAUGGGACAUGGAUAUUUUCCUUUUCUCCCUAUUUUUGUUGUCUUCUCAUGAGCAUAUUACAUUAUGAUGUAAAAAAAACCCCUUAGUUUUGAAAACUAAGUUUUUACUCCCUUCCUCUCUAUGAGAGAAGUUUUUUUCACUUUAUUUACCAUUUUCUGUAAUAGUCUUUCCUCUGUGGAUGCUCAUCUAGAAGAGAAAUUAAUUAUGCCACUAAGUGGUCUAUAUAUUGAC
rnacentral:lncRNA from 1 species